rnacentral:rRNA from 1 species
UUUUAUGGAGAGUUUGAUCCUGGCUCAGGAUGAACGCUGGCGGCGUGCCUAAUACAUGCAAGUCGAGCGAACGGACGAGAAGCUUGCUUCUCUGAUGUUAGCGGCGGACGGGUGAGUAACACGUGGAUAACCUACCUAUAAGACUGGGAUAACUUCUGGAAACCGGAGCUAAUACCGGAUAAUAUUUUGAACCGCAUGGUUCAAAAGUGAAAGACGGUCUUGCUGUCACUUAUAGAUGGAUCCGCGCUGCAUUAGCUAGUUGGUAAGGUAACGGCUUACCAAGGCAACGAUGCAUAGCCGACCUGAGAGGGUGAUCGGCCACACUGGAACUGAGAC